GUAGCUUUUAAUAUUCUCUCCUUGUUCUGUAUGUUGGCUAUCUUCAUAAUUAUAUGUCUUGGAGUUGGUCUAUUACGGUUUUGAAUGUUUGGGGUCCUGUAGGCUUCCAGGAUUUGGCAAUCCAUUCCAUCUUUCAUCUCUGGGAAGUUUUCUAGAAUUAUUUCAUUUAAUAGGUUGUCCAUUCCUUUGGUUUGAAUCUCUAUGCCUUCUUCUAUCCCGAUGACUCUCAAAUUUGGUUUUUUUAUGACAUCCCAUAUCUCUUGAAUAGAUUGCUCGUGAGAUUUAAGCAUCUUUUCUGUGUUGACUAUAUUCUUUUCAAGUUGAUAAACUUUGUCUUCAUUAUCUGAUGUUCUGACUUCUACUUGAUCUAGUCUAUUUGUAAUAUUCUCGUUUGAGUUUUUAAUUUGGUUUAUAGUUUCCUGCAUUUCUAGGAUUACUGUUUGAUUUUUUUUUAAGAUCUCUAUCUCCUGGUAAAGCUCGUUCUUUGCCAUUUGAAUUUGUUUGUUUAAUUCGUUUUCAAAAUAUACUUUCAUUGCUUGGACUUGCUGUCUCAUGUCUUCUCUAAUAUUCCUUUCCAUCUGAGUUAGGUAUGCCUCGAGUUCUUUCCCUAUCCAUGUUUCUGAUGCUUCUAGGUCCUCCUGUAGAUUUAAGUUGUCCUGCAUUGUUUGUAAUCCUUUUUUCCCUUGUUUUUUCAUGUUGUUCACGUUACUUUCCAGCUUUGUUUGAUUGCUGUGUUUCUGCUCUCUCCUAUAGAUUUGUUUUGGUUUUGUAUAUCUCUGUUGUCUCUCCUUUGUGUUGAUAGACUAUGACUGCUAAAGUGGAUUCCGCUGGGAAGGAAUUCCGACGGCCGAGCUCCAGUGACGUCACCUCUCUGCUA
rnacentral:lncRNA from 1 species